rnacentral:lncRNA from 1 species
UAAGCAAGAUUCACUGUUGUGCCUCAGCUCAUCUCAGUACAGCUGGCAGGAAGGUAACGGUAUAUAGAUUCAACAGUAA